UACGUAGGGGGCAAGCGUUGUCCGGAAUCAUUGGGCGUAAAGAGCGUGUAGGCGGCCCGGUAAGUCCGCUGUGAAAGUCGGGGGCUCAACCCUCGGAUGCCGGUGGAUACUGUCGGGCUCGAGUACGGAAGAGGCGAGUGGAAUUCCUGGUGUAGCGGUGAAAUGCGCAGAUAUCAGGAGGAACACCGGUGGUGUAGACGGCUUUCUGGACAGACACUGACGCUGAGACACGAAAGCGUGGGUAGCAAACAGG
rnacentral:rRNA from 1 species